rnacentral:rRNA from 1 species
UACGUAGGGGGCAAGCGUUGUCCGGAUUUAUUGGGCGUAAAGAGCGUGUAGGCGGCCAUGUAGGUCCGGUGUGAAAACUCGAGGCUUAACCUCGAGAUGUCAUCGGAAACCAUUUGGCUAGAGUCCGGAAGAGGAGAGUGGAAUUCCUGGUGUAGCGGUGAAAUGCGCAGAUAUCAGGAAGAACACCCGUGGCUAAGGCGGUUCUCUAGUACGGUACUGACGCUGAGACGCGAAAGCGUGGGGAGCGAACAGG